CAUUUGUAAUCCUGGGAUUUACCAUUUGUAUAGGGCAUGUCAUCAUGGGUUUCAUGUUUGGAAAGUCGGGGGAAAAUCUAACAAUGAGGCUGAAAUCCUUGUCAUUUAAAGCAUUGCUCCGACAGGACAUGGCCUAUUUUGAUGACAAACAAAAUGCUGUGGGUGCCCUUCUUGCAAGACUUACAAUAGAUACUUCUCAAAUUAAAGGG